rnacentral:rRNA from 1 species
CAGUAGCCGCGGUAAAACGGAGGGGGCUAGCGUUGUUCGGAAUUACUGGGCGUAAAGCGCACGUAGGCGGCUUUGUAAGUUAGAGGUGAAAGCCCGGAGCUCAACUCCGGAAUUGCCUUUAAGACUGCAGAGCUAGCAGGUGAGAGAGGUGAGUGGAAUUCCGAGUGUAGAGGUGAAAUUCGUAGAUAUUCGGAAGAACACCAGUGGCGAAGGCGGCUCACUGGCUCAUACUGGACGCUGAGGUGCGAAAGCGUGGGGAGCAAACAGGAUUAGAUACCCCCGUAGUCCCUGUCUCUUAUAU